GCGGCGGAGCGGAGAGGGACACAAAAUGAUAGAAUUUGAGAGAGAUGUACCGAUAUGAAUAUUGCGCGAGAGCGAGAGAGACGGAGCGAAGAAACACGGGAGAUAAAACGAAGAGGAGAGCAAAGCGGAGAGACCGAGAAUAAGGGUGGGAAGGCGGACGGGCAGAAAAUAAAAGUGAAGUGAGACGGUGCUAGGGGGGCCGCCGGCAGAGCGAGAGAGAAAAGAAGACCAACAGGAAAGAGGGAACGACGUUGCUGCGGUGGUGAUGGAGGGGGCCAUCAUGCGAAGAAAAUGAGGGAAAGAGGGGACGGAGGAAAUGAAUAAAAAAAGAAAACUGCGGAGAAGGAGAAAUAUAGAAUAAUACUGGCUGAGAGAGCGAGAGCGGCCAGAGAGGGAGAGACGGAGAAUGAGAGAGCAAGUGAGGGGAGGGGUGGUGGAGGCAAGAAGGGAGAGAAAGAGAGAGAUGACGAGAGAAGUUGGGGCAGCUGCUCCCCUGCGGUGGGAGAGAGAUGGACCAUGUAUUAAGGGUGAGUGGUGUUUGUGCGAUGUGCGCGCUGUGUGUGCAAAAGGAAAAGAAUUAACAAAUCCCUUUCCUUCAGUUCUCUUUUUCUUGUGUCUCCCCCCACCUCCACCCCCCACCCACGCGGCACCUGCACCGAUAGAGCGUCUCAAAUGAAGGAAGGCGCGAUGGGUUUGAAUCUGGCGGCAAUGCUGUCGCCAGAGGCCGGCGUGCACCGGCCGGUCUGGGCGCCACUGCUGGGCCCGGAGGCUGCCAGCGGACGCCAACCUGGUCUAGUUCUUCUACCUCCAUGACCAAGAGCCAAUACAUCCAACAGAUGCAUCGCGAUUAGUUAAGUCAAUACAUCGGGAGAAUCUCAUCUCUUUAAGUCUGCGGGCCUAGACGAGACUUGGUUGGCGGGGAACUGCGUCAGGACUAGCCUACGUCUACGUCAGGACUACGUCGCACCCAGGCCGUGGUCGUCGUACCCGCCAGGCAGGCAGGCGGAUCUCUUCGGCGCGCCUGCCCUGGCCGCCCGGCCCCCGCCCGGCCACCCGCCCGCCCGUCCGCCCGUGCGUCCGCCUUCCCGUCCGCCCGCCCGCCCGCACCGUCCCGCGCCGAGCCUCGUUUGCCUCCCGGCCGUCCCGUCCCGCCGCACCGCGCGAACCUCACCACACCGGCCUCCCUCCCAGCAGCAGGCAGCCAAGGGCAACGACAGUGCUGCUACGGUGGUGUUUUUACCGAACUACACGUGCCGAGCCGAGCCUGUGGGAGUGGGACAUUCCUGACAGAGCCACCCCGAGCAGUAAACACGGUUGGCAUCGUCAACAUUUCCAGCUGGGCGGGAAAAUCAUCAGGUGUCUGCAGCGCAUCCUUGUGCACGUGAGUGGCUGCGCCUGGCGCGGCGAGGCACGGCAGAGGGUUUGGGCGACAUACGGGGCCCCUCGGCCGCAGAGGAACACAACACGAGUGGGGCUUUCGAUCGCCGUCGACGUUUCUCACUGCGG